rnacentral:lncRNA from 1 species
GUGGAAAAUGGCUUGGAGGGGACAAUGCUGGAGUCAAGGAGGCCAGUGUGGGGCUAUUGCAAUAACUCAGAAACUGGAAAGAUGAAUAUAGAAGAGGGAUGGAUUUGAGAGAUAUUUACCAGGUGAAAUCCACAGCACUUGGUGAACAACAACAUGGGGAAUGAGGGGAAAAAGUCAUCAAGGCUGGCUCCCCGGUUUCUGGCGUGAGCAAAGACUAAAUGAUAAUAUCUGUCUCUGAGAAUGGAGUAUAGGAGAAGUGGAUUUCAUUCAUCAAUUCCGUAAAGAUUUAUUGAGCACCUACUACAUGCUGGUCACUGUGCAGAACACUGGGGAUACAACAGUGAGCAAAAUAAUAUCAUGUUUACCUCCAAGGAAUUUACAAUGUAGUGAGGGAUUAUGAAGAGGAGGUGAAAAUGGUCCCACUAACGACAACAAUCAGCACCCCGCUAUGAGAAGGAGGGAGGAAGGAGGAGCCACGAGUCUUCUGGGAGAGCAGACUCCUAUGAGGCGCAAGUCUCCUGGCCCCUCUUGCCACAAGCCAGGCCAAGAAGAGACUCCAAGAGGACAAUUCACAGAGACUGGGGAGAGAAUGGCGCUCCAUUU